rnacentral:rRNA from 1 species
AGGGGGACGAACAGUUGGAAACGACUGCUAAUACCGCAUACGAUCUAAUCUCGGCAUCGAGGAUGGAUGAAAGGUGGCCUCUAUUUAUAAGCUAUCACUGAAGGAGGGGAUUGCGUCUGAUUAGCUAGUUGGAGGGGUAACGGCCCACCAAGGCGAUGAUCAGUAGCCGGUCUGAGAGGAUGAACGGCCACAUUGGGACUGAGACACGGCCCAGACUCCUACGGAGGCAGCAUG